GAGUUUGAUCCUGGCUCAGGAUGAACGCUGGCGGCAUGCCUAAUACAUGCAAGUCGAACGAGAGGAAGGAAAGCUUGCUUUCCUGAAUCUAGUGGCGAACGGGUGAGUAACACGUAGGUAACCUGCCCAUGUGCCCGGGAUAACUUCUGGAAACGGAUGCUAAAACCGGAUAGGUAGCAGACAAGCAUUUGACUGCUAUUAAAGUGGCUUUGGCCAUGAACAUGGAUGGACCUGCGGUGCAUUAGCUGGUUGGUGAGGUAACGGCCCACCAAGGCGACGAUGCAUAGCCGGCCUGAGAGGGCGGACGGCCACAUUGGAACUGAGACACGGCCCAAACUCCUACGGGAGGCAGCAGUAGGGAAUUUUCGUCAAUGGGGGGAACCCUGAACGAGCAAUGCCGCGUGAGUGAGGAAGGUCUUCGGAUCGUAAAGCUCUGUUGUAAGAGAAAAACGGCACUCAUAGGGAAUGAUGAGUGAGUGAUGGUAUCUUACCAGAAAGUCACGGCUAACUACGUGCCAGCAGCCGCGGUAAUAC
rnacentral:rRNA from 1 species